CAAAGGAAUUGAGGGCCCCGCACAAGCAGCGGAGCGUGUGGUUUAAUUCGAUGUUACACGAAGAACCUUACCAGGGUUUGACAUGCAAGUGUAGGAAGCCGAAAGGUUGACCGACCCUUCGGGGAGCUUGCACAGGUGCUGCAUGGCUGUCGUCAGCUCGUGUCGUGAGAUGUUCGGUUAAGUCCGCUAACGAGCGCAACCCUCGCUGUGUGUUAUAUGUGUCACACGGGACUGCCGGUCUUAAGCCGGAGGAAGGUGGGGAUGAUGUCAAGUCAGCAUGGCCUUUAUAUCCUGGGCUACACACACGCUACAAUGGCCAACACAAUAGGUUGCUAAGCCGCGAGGUGGCGCCAAUCCAUAAAGUUGGUCUCAGUUCAGAUUGUAGGCUGCCAACCCGCCUGCAUGAAGAUGGAGUUGCUAGUAACCGCAGGUCAGCUAUACUGCGGUGAAUACGUCCGGGCUU
rnacentral:rRNA from 1 species